rnacentral:rRNA from 1 species
GACGAACGCUGGCGGCGUGCCUAAUACAUGCAAGUAGAACGCUGAAGGAGGAGCUUGCUUCUCCGGAUGAGUUGCGAACGGGUGAGUAACGCGUAGGUAACCUGCCUGGUAGCGGGGGAUAACUAUUGGAAACGAUAGCUAAUACCGCAUAACAGUAGAUGUUGCAUGACAUUUGCUUAAAAGGUGCAAUUGCAUCACUACCAGAUGGACCUGCGUUGUAUUAGCUAGUUGGUGAGGUAACGGCUCACCAAGGCGACGAUACAUAGCCGACCUGAGAGGGUGAUCGGCCACACUGGGACUGAGACACGGCCCAGACUCCUACGGGAGGCAGCAGUAGGGAAUCUUCGGCAAUGGACGGAAGUCUGACCGAGCAACGCCGCGUGAGCGAAGAAGGGUUUCGGAUCGUAAAGCUCGGUUGUAAGAGAAGAACGAGUGUGAGAGUGGAAAGUUCACACUGUGACGGUAGCUUACCAGAAAGGGACGGCUAACUACGUG